UACGUAGGGUGCAAGCGUUAAUCGGAAUUACUGGGCGUAAAGCGUGCGCAGGCGGUCGCGUAAGCCAGAUGUGAAAGCCCCGGGCUUAACCUGGGAAUUGCAUUUGGUACUGCGUGGCUAGAGUGCGGCAGAGGGAGGUGGAAUUCCUGGUGUGGCAGUGAAAUGCGUAGAUAUCAGGAGGAACACCGAUGGCGAAGGCAGCCUCCUGGGCCAGCACUGACGCUCAUGCACGAAAGCGUGGGGAGCAAACAGG
rnacentral:rRNA from 1 species